ACGGAAGGCAGCAGUGGGGAAUAUUGCACAAUGGGCGCAAGCCUGAUGCGGCAACGCCGCGUGAGGGAAGACGGUCUUCGGAUUGUAAACCUCUGUCCUUGGUGACGAAUAAUGACGGUAGCCGAGGAGGAAGCCACGGCUAACUACGUGCCAGCAGCCGCGGUAAUACGUAGGUGGCAAGCGUUGUCCGGAUUUACUGGGUGUAAAGGGAGCGCAGGCGGGAAAGCAAGUCAGCUGUGAAAUAUACAGGCUUAACCUGUAGACUGCAGUUGAAACUGUUUUUCUUGAGUGGAGUAGAGGUAAGCGGAAUUCCGAGUGUAGCGGUGAAAUGCGUAGAGAUUCGGAGGAACACCAGUGGCGAAGGCGGCUUGCUGGGCUCUAACUGACGCUGAGGCUCGAAAGUGUGGGGAGCAAACAGGAUUAGAUACCCUGGUA
rnacentral:rRNA from 1 species